rnacentral:rRNA from 1 species
AUGUCCGGUGAUGCUGCCGAUCACGCUUUCACCAGUCGGGCUCCAGGACCGGACAUAGAGGUGGAAGCUGACAUGGGGCAGACGCCGGAUACUCCCCCUACAGAGGAUGCGGAUAGACUAUCCGCUACAAAUUCAGAAGUGGAGAGCGCCAUGAAUCAUAGGCGUCGCCGGGCCAUACUCCGUGACGGUUGCUUCUCACCAGAGGCAUUUGAUGCCUUCAAUUCUGAAGAGGCGUACCUUCGUGCUGCUCAAAAUGGUCUAGCCAGAGCCACAGACCAGUAUGUAAAGGAUUAUGGGUAA